CUGCAGCUCAAGUGGUAGCCGCUAUUAUUGGGCCUAAAACGUUCGUAGCCGGUUUAGUAAAUGCUUGGGUAAAUUGUGUCGCUUAACGAUACGAAUACCGGGUAGACUGCUAAACUUGGGACCGGGAGAGGCUAGAGGUACUCCUGGGGUAGAGGUGAAAUUCUGUAAUCCUGGGGGGACCACCAGUGGCGAAGGCGUCUAGCUAGAACGGGUCUGACGGUGAGGGACGAAGCCCUGGGGCGCAAACCGGAUUAGAUACCCGCGUAGUCC
rnacentral:rRNA from 1 species